rnacentral:RNase_P_RNA from 1 species
UAAGUUAAUUAAGCAGUAAUCUUUAAAAAAAAUAAAGAAGGAAAGUCUGGACCCCAAAGAGCAGAGUACCAGGUAAUACCUGGGAUUAAAUUACGAAAAGUACAACAGAAAAAAAACCACUUAUAAAAUAUUAUAAGAAAGGGUGAAAUAGUAUGUUUAAAACAUACAUCGUUUUGGUAACAAUUAACGAUAUUGUAAACUCUACUCGGUGCAAAAUUAAAUAAGAGUUGUAUUGCUCAUACUAAACUCUGGGUUAAUUGCUUGAACUAAUAAGUAAUUAUUAGUCUAGAUAAAUUACUGCUCAAUGACAGAAUCCAGCUUAUCAAUUAACUUUUAUA